GACGAACGCUGGCGGCGUGCUUAACACAUGCAAGUCGAACGGAAAGGCCCUGCUUUUGUGGGGUGCUCGAGUGGCGAACCGGUGAGUAACACGUGAGUAACCUGCCCUUGACUUUGGGAUAACUUCAGGAAACUGGGGCUAAUACCGGAUAGGAGCUCCUGCUGCAUGGUGGGGGUUGGAAAGUUUCGGCGGUUGGGGAUGGACUCGCGGCUUAUCAGCUUGUUGGUGGGGUAGUGGCUUACCAAGGCUUUGACGGGUAGCCGGCCUGAGAGGGUGACCGGCCACAUUGGGACUGAGAUACGGCCCAGACUCCUACGGGAGGCAGCAGUGGGGAAUAUUGCACAAUGGGCGGAAGCCUGAUGCAGCAACGCCGCGUGCGGGAUGACGGCCUUCGGGUUGUAAACCGCUUUCGCCUGUGACGAAGCGUGAGUGACGGUAAUGGGUAAAGAAGUACCGGCUAACUACGUG
rnacentral:rRNA from 1 species